UUCUUUUCAGCAAAAAUCAACAUUUGAUUUUAUGUAUGCAACACCUUCUUUGUUCGCAUGAAAAUUGUAUGGUCACAUCUACUUGUGGCUUAAAACCAAGAUGUUACUAACUUUCUUCACUAUCACUCAGAUAUAGGCUCCGAAAAUAGAGAUAAGGAAGCAGUGUCCAUUACACACCCAGACCUCAUCACAUUUCUCUUUCUUUAUCCUUUGGUAGAUAGGUAGAUAGAUAUGCCACGCACCCUUCAAUUUCAUGCAUCUUCAUUCAUGAAAACCUAACAGUCUACUAGCUAUUAUUUUUUCUCUAGCUCAUUUCCUUCAGCAACCCGUUAUUCACAGAAGCUAGACAAACAGGGGGAAGAGGUAUUGAAGUGCUAAGUGAGUCAUGGCUGGGGCAUUAAAAAAGUGCAUGAUGCUUUGUUGUACAAGCAAGAUUGUCUCGGUUUGAUCAUACACUGUAUAAUUUGGUGACGACACUGGUGGUAUGGUAGUGGUGAUAUUGGAAGGUGAUGAUGGUGGCACUAGUGGUGGAUGGUGGUGGCGACAACGACAGUAGUGGCAAUGGUGGUGAAUGUGGUGGUGGAUGGUGGUGUUGGUGGCGGUGGUGGUGGAGAGUGAGGGUGACGACAAUAGUUGUAUGAAGGUAUCAACGACGUGGUAGUGGUGGAGCAUAGUGGUGGCGGCGGCGAUAGUGGUGGUGGUGAUGGCGGUGAUGGUAGAGGGUGGUGGUAGUGACGAUAACGAUGACUAGAGCAUGUUGGUGGUGGAUGGCGGCGAAGGUGGUGGUGGCGGCGGUAGUGGUGGUGGUAGUGGUGGAGGCGGUGGUGGUGGAGGGUGCUUGUGGUGGCGGCGAUGGUGGUUGUGGUAGUGGUGGUGGCGAUAGUGGUGGAGACGGUGGUGGUGGAGGGUGGUUGUGGUGACAGCGACAAUGGUGGUGGUAGUGGUGGAGGUGGUGGUAGUGGUGGAGGCGAUGGUGGUGGUUGUGGUGGCGGCGAUGGUGGUGGUUGUGGUGGCGGCGACGGUGGUGGUGGUAGUGAUGGAGGCGGUGGUGGUGGAUGGUGAUUGUGGUGGCAGUGACAAUGGUGGUGGUGCCGACGACGGUGGUGGCGGCAGUGACGGUGGUGGUGGAGGGUAUUGUGAUGGCAGUUGAUUCAAUAUAUUGAAGUAGUUUAUGCAUUGUACUUUUAUCAUGCCUUAUCCAUCAUCUAUAUGGUGGAUUAAAUAAUUCAUCAUUUUGAUGUAUAAGAGGAGAUUGAUGUAUAAACUUAUACAAUACAAUAUGAGCACUAAACAAUGAAUAAAUUCAUAAUAUAUUGUAUAAGCUUUAUACUAUCAUGCCUAAUACAGUUUACCAAAUGUGCCCUAUGGUUCAAAAACAUUUUCAGUUGCUAUGACUAGAAUGAAUUUUAUUGCCCAUUGAAGCAUCGAAAUGGCUAAUCGCAUGCUAAUUGUCCCACUGAUCUCUUAUGGUAUUGCUUGUUUUCGUUUCAUUAAGUCAACCUUCCCAAUAAACUAUUACUUCAGUGAGCAUCUAUUCAUUCACGAACAAAAAGAAAAAGUCAAUUCCUCAUCACACCCGCCAUCCCAGAACGUCAUCUACCACGCUUAUUAUUUUGGGGACAAUAAAACCCCACCCACCAGAUUCCACUUUCUACAGUUUUCUAAUUCAAUAAUGCUCUAAUUAACCCCCAUAAACGCAGCUGAAGCAGCAGGUGAUUAACAAAUCUUAUCUUACACAGUUGUUUAUUCUUUACAUUAUUUUACAGCACUAAUUGGCUUGGUAUACUACUUUAGAAAAAUAAGAAAAUGCACAUAUUAAAAAUUUUAAUUAAUUUAUUGAAAUUAUUUUAUAAACUUUAGAUUGUAACCUUUAAGCCUUUGAUUAAAUUAAUAGUGAUUGAGAAAGAGUUGUGUGUUUGAUUUCUUCCUUUGAUGUGAGGAUUGUGUUGAGUAAUAGGUUAGAGGAGGGAUAUUGUUGGAUAAUAAUAGUCAUUGUUAAUUCUGGUACCAAUUGAUAAAAUGAUGCUUCCUAUCAAAGUCAGUACGGCUAGGUUAGAGAAUCAAAAUUAUAAAGCAAUACUCAAUUCUGAUAUCAUUAAUUGGAAAAAGAAUUACAACUUAUACCAGAAAAAUAAGCAACAAAAAGGUUAAAAAUCUAGUCUAAUUAUGAAAGAAAU